AGAGGGUGCAAGCGUUAAUCGGAAUUACUGGGCGUAAAGCGUGCGUAGGUGGCUAUGUAAGUCAGAUGUGAAAGCCCAAGGCUUAACCUUGGAAUUGCAUUUGAUACUGCUUAGCUAGAGUACAGUAAAGGGAAGCGGAAUUCCUAGUGUAGCGGUGAAAUGCGUAGAUAUUAGGAGGAACACCAGUGGCGAAGGCGGCUUCCUAGACUGAUACUGACACUGAGGUACGAAAGCGUGGGGAGCAAACAGGAUUAGAUACCCUGGUAGUCCACGCCCUAAACGAUGAGAACUAGACGUUGGAAGGGUAUACCUUUUAGUGUCGCAGCUAACGCGAUAAGUUCUCCGCCUGG
rnacentral:rRNA from 1 species